ACGGCUUUGGUCUAUCGGCAAGACACGAGCUUCCCAAGCUUGGAAGGCGGGUUCAAUUCCCGCAAGCCGUA
rnacentral:tRNA from 1 species